GAGAUUCGGGCUCAAACAUGAUGAACGAAAAUUCCCCAAAAAUAGUUCCGAAAAUAGGGAAAAAGAAAAACGCUCGGGAAUCAAAGAUUUAGCACGAUUUGAGACAACAAACAAAGCUAAAUCACGAGAACAUCUUCUAUACAAGAUGAGGACUAGCCUCCUCCCUUCAUCCACCCACUAAAGAUGAAGAAAUCAAGAGAAAAGAGUAAUCACUCCCUAAUCCCCCUCUCUCCUCUCACUUUAAGCACAUGACUAGCCUGUAAGCAAAUAGAUAAUGAGUUGCUAAGCAAAGAGGUGCUGAAAUAACCAGCCCCCAUCCCUAUUUAUAGUUCAGGACGAAAGACUAUACUACCCCUACAGCUACAACUAAGAUAACUACCCACGCAAGGGCAUUUUGGUCCAAGUUUUUAUCCGCGCAUCGGACGGACACGCCGCCUUCACGACUUUGCUUCGCCUCGACGCAAGCUUCGCGAUGACGCCACGUGCCCUCCUUCUCGAAACUCCGGCCGCACCGGGCUCGCCCCCGGUUUUGAGGCCCAAACCGGGAAACCUGCCUGCGCGGUGGUUUUGAGGCCCAAACCACCCAAACCGUCCAUUGACGCGUGUCCGGCCUCCGCCAAGCCUCCCGCUUGACUCGACCGACGCCGUCUCCAUUGUGUCAUUCCCUCUCGCCAUUCUGUGCACCAUGUGGACCGCCCAUGACUUCGCCCGGACUCCUCGGGUCCAUCGGUCCAAGCCUACUUGCGUUCAUCCUUCACCGCCCUUGGUCCAUC
rnacentral:lncRNA from 1 species